CCUACGGGAGGCAGCAGUGGGGGAUAUUGCACAAUGGGGGGAACCCUGAUGCAGCGACGCCGCGUGGGUGAAGAAGCGCCUCGACGCGUAAAGUCCUUUCAGCAGGGAAGAAAAUGACGGUACCUGAAGAAGAAGCCCCGGCUAACUACGUGCCAGCAGCCGCGGUAAUACGGAGGGGGCGAGCGUUAUCCGGAUUGACUGGGGGGAAAGGGGGCGCAGACGGCGAAGCAAGCCAGGCGUGAAAGCCCGGGGCCCAACCCGGGGACUGCUCUUGGAACUGGGUGGCUGGAGUGCAGGAGGGGGAGGCGGAAUUCCAGGUGUAGCGGUGAAAUGCGUAGAUAUCAGGAGGAACACCGGUGGCGAAGGCGGCCUGCUGGACUGAAACUGACGUUGAGGUCCGAAAGCGUGGGGAGCAAACAGGAUUAGAUACCCGGGUAGUC
rnacentral:rRNA from 1 species